rnacentral:rRNA from 1 species
CCUACGGGUGACAGCAGUGAGGAAUAUUGGUCAAUGGACGCAACUCUGAACCAGCCAUGCCGCGUGCAGGAAGACGGCUCUACGAGUUGUAAACUGCUUUUGUACGAGGGUAAACGCAGAUACGCGUACCUGUCUGAAAGUAGCGUACGAAUAAGGAUCGGCUAACUCCGUGCCAGCAGCCGCGGUAAUACGGAGGAUUCAAGCGUUAUCCGGAUUUAUUGGGUUUAAAGGGUGCGUAGGCGGUCGGUUAAGUUAGAGGUGAAAUCUCGAGGCUCAACCUCGGAAUUGCCUCUGAUACUGUUCGGCUAGAGUAUAGUUGCGGUAGGCGGAAUGUGUGGUGUAGCAGUGAAAUGCUUAGAGAUCAUGCAGAACACCGAUUGCGAAGGCAGCUUACCAAGCUACUACUGACGUUGAGGCACGAAAGCGUGGGGAGCAAACAGGAUUAGAUACCCGAGUAGUC